CGGGACCAGCUGGCUGGUACCAUGAGGUGACUUCUGCCCAGUGCUCUGAUUGUCAAUGCGAAGAGAUUCAGCCAAGCGCGGGUCAACGGCGGGAGUAACUAUGACUCUCUUAAGGUAGCCAAAUGCCUCGUCAACCAAUUAUUGACGCGCAUGAAUGGAUCAACGAGAUUCCUGCUGUCCCUAGGUGCUGUCUGGUGAACCAACAGCCAAGGGAACGGGCUUGGAUGUGUCAGCGGGGAAAGAAGACCCUGUUGAGUUUGACUCUAGUUUGAUGCUGUGCAACAACAUGGAGGGUGUAGCACAGGUGGGAGGCAAGUGCCAUCAAGAGAGCUGUCCAGAUGGGGAAGCAGGGUGAAACCUGUGACCUCUACUGGCUGUCCCUGAGCAAUUGGUGCAAGCCAGCAGUGAAAUACCACUACCUUCACCGUUGUUUUACUCAUCGAGUGGCUUGGGAACAGUGGCCGUCAGACAAUCAGUCACUGCACUCUGUGGUGGCUGGGGCCUUGACCUGAUUCGUGCUUCAAGCACUGCACUCUGUGUGGUGUGCCUCCAGUGGGCUUCACUGGUCUUUGGAUUGGUGCCUCGGGACAAUGAUCAGUUGGGGAGUUUGGCUGGGGCGGCACGCCUGUUACAGCACAACGCAGGCGUCCUGAAGCAUUGCUCAGAUGGAACAGAACUCUGCCAUGGAGGAGCAGGCCAAAGGUGCUGCUGAUGCUGUGGCUUCCAGUACAAGCCCAAAACGUGCAAGUGUGGCCUAUCGAUCCUUUGGAUCCCAUUCGGGUUCUGGAUAUUGAAGCCAGAGGUGUCAGAAAAAUUACCACAGGGAUAACUGGCUUGUGGCUGCCAAGCGUUCACAGCGACGUUGCUUUUUGAUCCUUCGAUGUCGGCUCUUCCUAGCUUCCCACCCGCAGACGAGUGGAAGAGUUGGAUUGUUCACCCACCAACAGGGAACGG
rnacentral:rRNA from 1 species